GUGAAAAAGAUUCUUAGAACAAAGAGAAUUGGAGGUUCACCAUUCUUUUCAUCAGCAAUUUCAUGCUCUUCUUGAUAUAAGGAAGAAAAAAAAAAUUGUUCUUCCAGGUGUAAAUUGGUUUUANNNNNNNGUAGGGACAGUGCAAUCCAGAAAAUUGUUACUUGUUUCUGCCUGGUGGAAAAUGAUCAGAGAAUCCUCUUCCUUGUCAACAUCUUGAUUCUAUGUAUAUUCAUCCAAGC
rnacentral:misc_RNA from 1 species